rnacentral:tRNA from 1 species
CCGACCUUAACUCAGUUGGUAGAGCGGAGGACUGUAGUUGUUGAAUGACCAGGCAGUUUGAUUUGAUCCUUAGGUCGCAGGUUCGAAUCCGGCAGGUCGGA